ACGUAGGUGGCGAGCGUUAUCCGGAAUUAUUGGGCGUAAAGGGUGCGUAGGCGGCCUGUUAAGUAAGUGGUUAAAUUGUUGGGCUCAACCCAAUCCAGCCACUUAAACUGGCAGGCUAGAGUAUUGGAGAGGCAAGUGGAAUUCCAUGUGUAGCGGUAAAAUGCGUAGAUAUAUGGAGGAACACCAGUGGCGAAGGCGGCUUGCUAGCCAAAGACUGACGCUCAUGCACGAAAGCGUGGGGAGCAAAUAG
rnacentral:rRNA from 1 species